UACGAACCGUCCAAACGUUAUUCGGAUUUAUUGGGCUUAAAGGGUAUGUAGGCGGCGCUUCAAGUCGGGUGUGAAAGCCCUCGGCUCAACCGAGGAACUGCGCCCGAUACUGUGGUGCUUGAGGGAGACAGAGGUAAGCGGAACUGAUGGUGGAGCGGUGAAAUGCGUUGAUAUCAUCAGGAACACCAGUGGCGAAAGCGGCGUACUGGGUCUUAUCUGACGCUGAGGCACGAAAGCUAGGGGAGCAAACAGG
rnacentral:rRNA from 1 species